rnacentral:rRNA from 1 species
GUGGGGAAUAUUGGACAAUGGGCGCAAGCCUGAUCCAGCCAUGCCGCGUGAGUGAUGAAGGCCUUAGGGUUGUAAAGCUCUUUCACCGAUGAAGAUAAUGACGGUAGUCGGAGAAGAAGCCCCGGCUAACUUCGUGCCAGCAGCCGCGGUAAUACGAAGGGGGCUAGCGUUGUUCGGAUUUACUGGGCGUAAAGCGCACGUAGGCGGUUUGUUAAGUCAGGGGUGAAAUCCCGGAGCUCAACUCCGGAACUGCCUUCGAUACUGGCGAUCUUGAGUCCGGAAGAGGUGAGUGGAACUCCUAGUGUAGAGGUGGAAUUCGUAGAUAUUAGGAAGAACACCAGUGGCGAAGGCGGCUCACUGGUCCGGUACUGACGCUGAGGUGCGAAAGCGUGGGGAGCAAACAGGAUUAGAUACCCGUGUAGUCC